rnacentral:rRNA from 1 species
AGUGAACGCUGGCGGUAGGCCUAACACAUGCAAGUCGAACGGCAGCACAGUAAGAGCUUGCUCUUACGGGUGGCGAGUGGCGGACGGGUGAGGAAUACAUCGGAAUCUACUUUUUCGCGGGGGAUAACGUAGGGAAACUUACGCUAAUACCGCAUACGACCUACGGGUGAAAGCAGGGGAUCUUCGGACCUUGCGCGAUUGAAUGAGCCGAUGUCGGAUUAGCUAGUUGGCGGGGUAAAGGCUCACCAAGGCGACGAUCCGUAGCUGGUCUGAGAGGAUGAUCAGCCACACUGGAACUGAGACACGGUCCAGACUCCUACGGGAGGCAGCAGUGGGGAAUAUUGGACAAUGGGCGCAAGCCUGAUCCAGCCAUACCGCGUGGGUGAAGAAGGCCUUCGGGUUGUAAAGCCCUUUUGUUGGGAAAGAAAAGCAGCAGGUUAAUACCCCGCUGUUCUGACGGUACCCAAAGAAUAAGCACCGGCUAACUUCGUG